ACGGUUCCACCCCUUUCCUCCCGUCCCGCUACCGCCGCCCCCGCGCCGCAUCCUCACCAUGGCGAUGGAGGAGGGCGCCAUGCCUCGAAGAACCGUCGACCUGGCGUGGCGUGGCGGACGCAGUUCCUCCGUCCCGGCGUCGCUGGACUGUCCGAUGCUCGCGGAGGCGCCUUCAACCUCCGCCCCGUCGAUGCGUUCUUCGCUCGGGGAUCUAGCGUGCCCACCCCCCACCUCCACGCGACGCGGCCGCCGUACACCUGCACCCCCAGCCCCCGGCGACGGCGAGUUUCUCUCCUCCUUCCUUCCCGAUGGGACGACGGUGGUUGCAAUCCUAUCCCCUGUGUGCAUCUGCUAGCUAUCUAAAUUUCUGCUAAUUGACUGAACCAUGGAUCCUAUCAGGCUGCGAUGUGUAAUGCAUACAGGAGAAUAAUAGAAUUCUGCCCCCCACAAGUAUGGAAUCCAGAGAUCCUUCUGAAGUUGCUGUACUUGUCCAAGCCUUAUGGCAAACUGACUGAAUGCAUUUGGCUGGCUGUUGAAAAAGACGGUCAGAGUUCUACAUCUGUGGAUGACAGAGGUGAUUGAGGCAGCUUUCAGGAGAAAUCUGAAAUAUUUGACCCGCCAAAAACUGGCCAGAAAAUAAUAGCUCAGAACCAAGAAAGUAUUUGUUACAAAUGUCGAAAGUUUUCAGAAUCACACUUGUAUUCAUCUAAGACUAAAUUAUCUUCUGCUGGCAUAAGAAAUAAACUAGCAAAAGAUUAUGCUUA